rnacentral:rRNA from 1 species
CAUUGAACGCUGGCGGAAUGCUUUACACAUGCAAGUCGAACGGCAGCACGGGUGCUUGCACCUGGUGGCGAGUGGCGAACGGGUGAGUAAUGCGUCGGAACGUACCGAGUAAUGGGGGAUAACGCAGCGAAAGUUGUGCUAAUACCGCAUACGCCCUGAGGGGGAAAGUGGGGGACCGCAAGGCCUCACGUUAUUCGAGCGGCCGACGUCUGAUUAGCUAGUUGGUGGGGUAAAGGCCUACCAAGGCGACGAUCAGUAGCGGGUCUGAGAGGAUGAUCCGCCACACUGGGACUGAGACACGGCCCAGACUCCUACGGGAGGCAGCAGUGGGGAAUUUUGGACAAUGGGGGCAACCCUGAUCCAGCCAUUCCGCGUGAGUGAAGAAGGCCUUCGGGUUGUAAUGCUCUUUCAGCUGGAACGAAACGGUACGCGCUAACAUCGUGUGCUAAUGACGGUACCGGCAGAAGAAGCACCGGCUAACUACGUGCCAGCAGCCGCGGUAAUACGUAGGGUGCGAGCGUUAAUCGGAAUUACUGGGCGUAAAGCGUGCGCAGGCGGAUUGUUAAGCAAGACGUGAAAUCCCCGGGCUUAACCUGGGAAUGGCGUUUUGAACUGGCAGUCUAGAGUGCGUCAGAGGGGGGUGGAAUUCCACGUGUAGCAGUGAAAUGCGUAGAGAUGUGGAGGAACACCGAUGGCGAAGGCAGCCCCCUGGGAUGACACUGACGCUCAUGUACGAAAGCGUGGGUAGCAAACAGGAUUAGA